GGAGCGGCCGUGGUUACGGCGAUCGCUUUGUAAGCGAAUGGUCCUGGGUUCGAUUCCCAUCUGCUCCC
rnacentral:tRNA from 1 species